GACCUGGUGGUGUAGUGGUCACACUCCUCGAGAAUUAGCCCCUGUAUGAUUUGCUGAGGCAGUCUCCGGUUCGAUUCCGGACCAGGUCA